rnacentral:rRNA from 1 species
AUUGAACGCUGGCGGCAUGCCUUACACAUGCAAGUCGAACGGUAACAGGUCUUCGGAUGCUGACGAGUGGCGAACGGGUGAGUAAUACAUCGGAACGUGCCUAGUAGUGGGGGAUAACUACUCGAAAGAGUGGCUAAUACCGCAUGAGAUCUACGGAUGAAAGCAGGGGAUCGCAAGACCUUGUGCUUCUAGAGCGGCCGAUGGCAGAUUAGGUAGUUGGUGGGAUAAAAGCUUACCAAGCCGACGAUCUGUAGCUGGUCUGAGAGGACGAUCAGCCACACUGGGACUGAGACACGGCCCAGACUCCUACGGGAGGCAGCAGUGGGGAAUUUUGGACAAUGGGCGCAAGCCUGAUCCAGCAAUGCCGCGUGCAGGAUGAAGGCCUUCGGGUUGUAAACUGCUUUUGUACGGAACGAAAAGCCCCGGGUUAAUACCCUGGGGUCAUGACGGUACCGUAAGAAUAAGCACCGGCUAACUAUGUGCCAGCCGCCGCCGUAA